GGAUCCAGACUUUGAUUCUGGCUCAGAGUGAACGCUGGCGGCGUGCUUAACACAUGCAAGUCGAACGAGAACGGGUUAUAGCUUGCUAUAACUGUCAGCUAAGUGGCGCACGGGUGAGUAAUGUAUAGUUAACCUGCCCUCGAGAAAGGAAUAACAGUUGGAAACGACUGCUAAUGCCCUACAUGCCUUUAAGACAUAAGUCUGCAAGGGAAAUGCUUUAGUGCUCGAGGAUGGGACUGUAUGGUAUCAGCUAGUUGGUGAGGUAAUGGCUCACCAAGGCAAUGACGCCUAACUGGUUUGAGAGGAUGAUCAGUCACACUGGAACUGAGACACGGUCCAGACUCCUACGGGAGGCAGCAGUGGGGAAUAUUGCACAAUGGAGGAAACUCUGAUGCAGCANCGCCGCGUGGAGGAUGACACUUUUCGGAGCGUAAACUCCUUUUAUAUAGGAAGAUAAUGACGGUACUAUAUGAAUAAGCACCGGCUAACUCCGUGCCAGCAGCCGCGGUAAU
rnacentral:rRNA from 1 species